GUCCAGAUGACGAGUCCCAAAUAGGACGAAGUGGGCGUUGCCCUGGAU
rnacentral:hammerhead_ribozyme from 1 species